GCUCCGGUGGCCUAGUGGUUAGAGCAUCCGCCUUGAAUGCAGGAGGUCGUGGAUUCGAUCCCCAGUCGAGUCA